GUCGAGCUGCAUUUCCGCCGGCGCGGUCCGGUUGUAGCAGUUUCCUGCGGCAGUGGCUGCUGUCCCAAAUAGUCCUGAACGAUUCCGAGGCGUGCCGCACCCUCUCGCGCCGUCCCCUCUGACCCUGCCGGUGACAGGCCCGGCUCCCCGGGUGAGUCGCUGCGGGGCCGCGAUGCACAGGCAACCCCCCCGCGGCCUCCCAAGCCCGGUGCAUCAUACCAGCCCCCCCGACAGGAGGAGAAACUGAGGCCCGAGGGGACGGGGAGAGCCGGCGGAGGUCAGCCCCGAUUUCAGGCCCCGCUCCUGGGUCCGGGCCCAGCCCCUCCGCCGGCUGCGGACCUCUCGGGAUGCGUGUCCCCGAGAAUGGGACUCCGGGUCUGAUCCCCUGCGCGCGGGGAAGACUCGUGUCCCGCCAACUACCAGAAGCGGGUCCGGCGACGCGCGGGCCGAGUGCCGCCGCCAGUGGUGCGGAGCCCCGUGUGGCCCCGGGCCUGAAGAGCUCCCGGGGCCGCGUGAUUUUCACGCACACACCCACCUCCGGCUCUGGGCCUCGAAUCCGCCAAAGCGCUUUAUCGGUUGCCCACGAAGUGACCAUAUGAGCGUUAGCCCGUUUUCUUGUCAACAAACAGCCUUUAAGAGAAAGCGUUAAAACCCCCGUUGUGCAGAGCGGUUGUGUGAGUUUUCAAUUGGGGGCGCUCGCGGGGCCCCAGAGCGUCAGAGGCCGAUUCCGGUGUCUUUGUUUUGCACUAAAGCCCCUUCCCCGUGCUGUCUCCUGCGUAGGCGUUGCGGGCUCUGGGGCUCCGUUGGAAGCAGAUGGAAACUCUCCGUUGGACGGCUUUGGGGGCUGUGCGUCAGGCAGCGCCCCCUUCUUUGCUGCAGGACCCUGAGCCGCAGCGCCGGAUGUGCCCCCGCGGUGUCCAGGGGGUGAGGCCUGGGUAAGUGCUGCUGCUCAGGAGAUCCUUGAGCAGGGGACUCGUUGCCUUCCUGCCACACCACGGUGGGGGGUUUGGGUGGGUGGGGGGCGUCCUGGAGCUCCUGCGGGUCCUGAGAAAGCCCUGAGGAGGCCUGGUGUGGUGGAUGGGGGUGUGUCUGGGGGCCAGAGAGGUCUGGGUUCAGAUCCUGCCUCAGCCUGUGGCGAGCGCAUCACGUUGGCUAGGUUACGUCCUUCUGAGCUCCUCUGUGUUUUAAGUGGGGAAACUGCCAGAGCUCUGGGAGGACAGAAGUCUUGUCUGUGUUCUUUGUCUUUGAGCCCACGGUUGGUGGCGCAUAGUAGAUCGUCCGUCUGUAUUUGUGGGGGACUAAACAAUGUAGGCGUUUUUGCCGCGAGUUGGUCUUCACGUGCCCCCUCUUGAUGACGGGAGAUGGCGUGUUUACAUGAGAUGGUGAUGGCGCUCAGGGUCCUGGGCUUGGCUGGGCAGCUCUCCUCUGCCUGGGAACAUAGGCUACUGACAUGGGCUGCCUGUGUCCAGAUGAACCCACUGUGUGGAGAGACAUCAUGGGAGUUCUGUCAGGAACAUUCUAGACCCCAGUGUCCUUGAGGGAUGCUGCCUCGGAUCUAGAGAUUGUUGGAAGAAUCCUUAAGGAGAUGGAGCAUUGGUCCUCUCAGGAUGACCUGGGUCCCAGCUGCCCUGGAGGGACCUCUUCAUGAUUAUUUCGGAGUUGAUCAUGGACACUGGCAGAAUGAAGAAUGAUGUUGCCACGUGAACCAUGGCCAGACCUUAUCCUGUUGCCUCAGCACAGCCUGGAGGGACUUUUCUCUCUGCGUGAGCGGGCCAGAGGGAAAGUCCUGGGACCCUGGAGACUUGAGGUCCAGAGCUAGAGACGUCAGCUGGCUCUGCUGCUCCCCCAGCAGGUGUCACACAGCACCUGGGACCAGGAAGACUGGUUCCCUUCCACCUGAGCCAGGUGUCCAGCAGGCUCCACGUCUCCCUGACUAUUCCUCCUGUAACUUUUUACAACCAAGAGUUUUCUGCACGGUGCAUCCUUGUCCCCUCACGCACCCAAUAAAUCUUGAAACUGCC